AUGUUUAUAACACUUGUGUCCAUGAAAACCUCCAAAACAUCAAGACUCAGAGGAAAAUAUCCCUCAUUGAGGUUCCCCCUCUCUGGUCUCUCCACUAUGGGGUUCUGGGGGUCCCCCUUGUCCUGGAUGCUGCGGGCCCUGCAUAUAUUGAAGGUCCCUCCUCUGCAGGGUCUCUGCCCGCUCCAGACUUCCAGGGAAUCCCAGGGGUGCCCCCUCUUUGGUCUCCCCACUCUGGGGUUCAGGGAGUCCCCCUUCUCUGGGGCUGCACUAAGGGAUGCCGAGGGUUUUGGGGUCCCAGGGGUCCCUCCUCCCCUGCCUCUCUGCUUCGGGGUGCCGGGGGUCCCCCGUCUCUGGGGUCCCCUCUUUGGUGUCCCAGGGGUUCCCCCUCUCCAGGCUCAUCCCUUCUCGGGGCUGCCCCUUCUCCAAGCUCACCCCACUCCCGGCUGCCGGGGUCCCCCCUCUCCAGGCCCCCAUUUCAGGGUCCGGGACUCCCGGGGCUCCCCGCUUUUCUCUCUCCCCCCUCUCAAGGCUCCUCCCCUCCUCCCCCGCCGGUACCGGGCGAUCGCCACGUGGCUCCCGGGACCCCGCACCCGCCACCCACCGCCGGGGCUCUGCCGGCAGCCGCCACCGCGACAUCCCCAAAAAACACCUCCCGGGGACCCCGCAGUAUCCACCCAAAGGGCAUUUCGGGUCAGCUUUGGAGUCCUGCAAGAUCCAAACAUCGCUCCACCCGCCCCGUUCCGAAGAAAAGAAUCAGGGAGCCCCAAGGUACUUCGGCUGAACUCCAAAUAUCCCUCCCCCCUUCAAAAGAAACCCUCCCAGGACCGCCCACGAUAUCCGGAGCGAGGUCCCCCUUCCCGGUCACCUGCGGCAUGCGGGGACAGCGAUGCUCCCGGCGCGAAGGGGCUGCAGAUCCAGAGAGCGCUGGACGCACGCGGCGCCUCCUCUCGCUGCUCCCCUUCCUGCUCCCGCUCCUCCUCUGCCCCUCCUCUUCCUCCCGCUCCUCCUCCUCCUCCUCCUCCUCCUGCGUCCCCCCGGCUGCUGGCGAGGAGCUCUCGGGUGAGCGGGGCGGGGACGGGACACGGUGGGAAAGGGGUGGGUCCCCCCCAAACCGAGCUGGGGGGAGCUGGGGUUCGGGGGACGGUGGGAAAGGGGCGGGAGAGGGCGGAUGAGGGGAGGUGGGACAGCGGGAAGGGGGUUCCCAGUGAGGGUCUCCCAGUGAACCCCAGGACCCCCAAAUGCCGUCCCUGUCCUCCCAGCCCCUCCCGGCGCUGUGGGGGCCGGGCCGUGCCCCAGUGCCGGCUCCAGGGAGCCCGAGCGAGCCGCCUGCCCGGCAUCGAAGCUCUGGGCGCGGAGCCGAAGGGGCGCCGUGCAGGGAGUGUCUCUGCGCUGCGGGCUCUGUGCCUGAGCGCUGCCCCGCGCCGAGCCCCAGAGGCGCGGCUGCUCCGCUUCCUGCGCCGCUGCUCCCUGCGCAGGGGAGGCCGCGGAGCGCCGCGAGAGGGAGCGGCUGAUGGAAGGGCUGCAAAGGCUGAGAAGGCUUUGGAGCGACUGGGGAGGCUGUGGGGGUGCUGA
rnacentral:lncRNA from 1 species